UACAGAGGUCUCAACCGUUGUUCGGAUUCAUUGGGCGUAAAGGGUGCGUAGGCGGUCGCGUAAGUCAGGUGUGAAAUCUCAGGGCUCAACCCUGAAACUGCACUUGAUACUGCGUGGCUCGGGUACUGGAGAGGAGACUGGAAUUUACGGUGUAGCAGUGAAAUGCGUAGAUAUCGUAAGGAAGACCAGUGGCGAAGGCGAGUCUCUGGACAGCAACUGACGCUGAGGCACGAAGGCCAGGGGAGCAAACGGG
rnacentral:rRNA from 1 species